rnacentral:lncRNA from 1 species
UUUAAUGAGCCAUCCACUGUAAAAUAUAAAGAGGAUAAUAAGGCUUUCUCUCUCUCUCUCUUUUUUUUAGAAAGUGAUUUAGCAGCUAUGGAUAAGUGUCGUGUGGAGUGAAGAUCCUGGAUUCUGCUGCCAGACUGUGUGUUUGGAUCCCUGCUUAUCAGUCUGGCAUCUGUGCUUCCCAAAGAGUCAUCCUUAUGUCAUCUGGUCCUCUGCCCUUUUGAAACCAGAUCUCAGGGUCAAAAGAAGUCUGAUAUCAUUCAGAUUCUCCCUGUCAUGAGACUGAUGCCAACUCAGUCACCUCAAGCAGGUGAGACACUCUUUAACAGCAUCUCCAGGGGAGGGCAGUGCACCUCAGCCUUUGUAACUUA